UGGGAUGUGGCUCAGUGGUAGAGCACUCGCCUAGCAUAUGCGAGGUCCUGGGUUCGAUCCUUAGCACCACAU
rnacentral:tRNA from 1 species